rnacentral:lncRNA from 1 species
AUUUGAGCUGUCCUCACAGGUAGGCUGCUUAACGCAUUAGUGGAUGAACUGCAUUCCAAUGUCCACACAAAGACAAUGCAAUAUAAAACUACAAGGAAGAACACAACCAUCUGAAUCACUUCCACGUAGCUGGGCACAUUUGGUUGGUUUUAUUGGAAGUUCAUUUUUUUCCGUCCAGGUGUCACUUCAACAAACACACACAAUCAACCAGCUCAGCUGUCAUCAAUCACAUGAUGGCUGUGUGCAGACUUUUUUUUGGUUUAAAGAAAUAUCGAUUGUGAGGGACGUUACCUAAUACUUUUGUGAAGAACACAACAUAUAACACGUUGAGGAGAAGAUAAAGAAAUUAACUAGAGAGAGGGUGAAACGCAGGGCUUGUUGAAGGUGACCCACAUACAUAUAUAUACGAAGCGGCUGCUGCUGUGAGCGAAAGAUAUCGAACAGCUAAUUGCUAAAAUAAGCGUAUGACCUAGAAAAUUGGCCUUAGUCGGACAUAAGGAAGAGAGUGUAGUAGCCGUAGAAGAGGAUGACGAUGCUUGAGAAGAGGCCAGCCGCACUUGGGACCACGGAGCACAUCGAGAUGGAGAUCUUCGCCUCGGAAGAGUCUCGCGCCGUGGUCUCCGUACAUGAUACCGAGGAGGGCUACUUCGGCUACUAUAGGCACCUAGAGCAUCCUCUGGUGUCCGUUUCUGAAGAGGAGUACCUAGAGGCCCAGGUCCAGAGCCCAGCUGAACAGCAAUUCAAGCUGAAGAGAGUGCUUUCUGUCGGGACAGAGGACUUGGAUGACUGCCCCCUGAUUCCAGACUUAAAGGAGGACAUGGAGAUUGAAAUGGAGGAAUUCCCUCCCUUCAACACGCCCGAGAGUGAGCAAGUAUUAAAAACAUCAGCCCUCCCUUCCUUCAAAACACUACCGUUUCCCGCCGUGGCUUCUCUCAACCAAGUCACCAAAGUCAAAUGGAGCCAAGUAGACCAUCAGAGGACUGGACUGGUAGUUAAAGACGUCAUCUGUCUACCCAGAGGACACCUCCUGGCCCAUCCCGACCGGACUCCACGAGGCAAAGAGAAGGCGGCGAUGGCUACCAUGGGAAUGACCGCGCGCAUCACUAUCGACUGCGGGUGGUCCACCAGGGAGAUGGCAAGUAGGCUGGUGAGCCACUUCCAUGGACGAUUAGGACGAAGGUCUUCUUUUGCUUACCUUCAGAAAGAACUUUCCUCUGGGGGUUGCCAUGGAAAGAUGUGGUGA